rnacentral:rRNA from 1 species
GAUGAACGCUAGCGGGAGGCCUAACACAUGCAAGCCGAGCGGUAGAGUUUCUUCGGAAACUUGAGAGCGGCGCACGGGUGCGUAACACGUGUGCAACCUACCUUUAUCUGGGGGAUAGCCUUUCGAAAGGAAGAUUAAUACCCCAUAAUAUAAUGAUUGGCAUCAAUUAUUAUUGAAAACUCCGGUGGAUAGAGAUGGGCACGCGCAAGAUUAGAUAGUUGGUGAGGUAACGGCUCACCAAGUCAAUGAUCUUUAGGGGUCCUGAGAGGGAGAUCCCCCACACUGGUACUGAGACACGGACCAGACUCCUACGGGAGGCAGCAGUGAGGAAUAUUGGACAAUAGGUGAGAGCCUGAUCCAGCCAUCCCGCGUGAAGGAUGACGGUCCUAUGGAUUGUAAACUUCUUUUGUACAGGGAUAAACCUACCCUCGUGAGGGUAGCUGAAGGUACUGUACGAAUAAGCACCGGCUAACUCCGUG